rnacentral:rRNA from 1 species
AUGAACGCUAGCGACAGGCUUAACACAUGCAAGUCGAGGGGUAACAGGGUAGCAAUACCGCUGACGACCGGCGCACGGGUGAGUAACGCGUAUGCAACCUGCCUAUAACUGGGGAAUAGCUCCCUGAAAGGGGGAAUUAACACCGCAUAACACUAUUGAUUCGCAUGGAUUGGUAGUUAAAUGUAGCGAUACAGGUUAUAGAUGGGCAUGCGUGACAUUAGCUAGUUGGUGAGGUAACGGCUCACCAAGGCUACGAUGUCUAGGGGUUCUGAGAGGAAGGUCCCCCACACUGGUACUGAGACACGGACCAGACUCCUACGGGAGGCAGCAGUGAGGAAUAUUGGUCAAUGGGCGCAAGCCUGAACCAGCCAUGUCGCGUGCAGGAAGACUGCCCUAUGGGUUGUAAACUGCUUUUAUAGUAGAAGAAACACAUCUACGUGUAGAUGUCUGCCAGUAUACUAUGAAUAAGCAUCGGCUAACUCCGUGCCAGCAGCCGC